rnacentral:sRNA from 1 species
CUCGUUCCUCGUUUUGCAGCGAAAAUCCUUUUUUGAAAAAAAAGAUUGUAGUGGAAAGCGGGAAAUAGC